GGCUAGGGGUCGAAUCGGAGCUACAGCUGCCGGCCUACACCACAGCCACGGCAACACCGGAUCCUUAACCCACGGAGCGAGCCCAGGGAUCAAACCUGCAUCCUCAUGGUUCCUGGUCAGAUUUGUUGCCGCCGCACCACGACAGGAACUCCAAAACUACUGAUUUUUAAAAGUUAACCAUGAAGAAACCAAACCACUGAAUGUUUCUGAACAAACGUUACCAUAAAAAAAAUCCAAACCACUGAAUACAUAUAUAUUUUGAAACGUUCACAACCAUGAAGAAAACCAAGCCACCAAAUUCUUUAACUGGACAAACCGCAUGGAAAGAGGGUUCUGCCAAGAAGACACACCCAUAGCCAAUGAGCACCUGAAAGGAUGCUCGAUGUCGCCCAUCAUGAGACAGGUGCGAACCAGCAGUAAGACACCGCCUCCCCCUCACCAGGACGGCUACGAACAGAAACAGAGUCACCUGAUUCUAAAGGAACGAAUGCGUCAUAACCAAACGCACAUCCAGAUAGUGUGUUUAGACCCGUGGCUGUUACUUCUUUUUGAAGAUUUUAUUUUUCUAUUAGAGCUGAUUUACCAUGUUCUCUCAAUUUCUGCUCUGCAGCAAAGUGACCAGUUAUACAUAAUACGUACGUUCUCCUCGCAUUAUCCUCCAGCAGAUUCCAUCACCCGGGACUGGACAUUGUUCCCUGUGCUGUACAGCAGGACCUUGGCUGUUACCCUAAAGCACACGCCACUCCAGCAUCUUCUAAACAUCUGCAUGUUUUCCGACCAUCUCAACGUUCCAGAGUCCAGCUGAGGGUGUCUUUUUCACCAUCUGGGUUCUCUACCCUUGAUGUAGAAAAUCUGCAUGCAAAUAAAGAUGAUAAAAAAGGAAUGGGACAUGCACAGAGAGAUUCCUCAAUUCUAGAAAAGGGACCCUCAGACUCGGUGGGUGGGACGCAAAUUGGUGCAGCCACUGAGAACAGGAGGGAGGGUCCUCAGAGAACGAAAAAUACAAGUGCUGCCCAACCCCGCAACUCCACUUCUGGGCAUGUAUCCAAGGAAGUGAAAGCAGGUCUCAGGAGGUCCCCUGUGGCUCAGUGGGUUAAGACACUGCCAUCGUCUCUGUGAGGAUGCGGGUUUGAUCCCUGGCCUCGCUCAGUGGGUUCAGGAUCCGGUGUUGCCGUGAGCUGUGGUGUAGGUCCCAGGUGCAGCUCAGAUUCAACCCCUAGCCUGGGAAAUUACGUAUGCCGCGGACCCAGUCCUGAAAGUAAAUAUAUAAGCAAACAAAUAAAAAAGGGGUUCCCUGGUGGGUUAAGGAUCCAGCAUUGUCGCUGCUGUGGUGCAGGUUUGAACCCUGGCCUGGCCUGGGAACUUCUGCAUGCUGCUGGUGCAGCCAAAAGCAUUAAUUACAAAGGAGGAAAACAGUGGAGGAAUGACACAGACAAAUCAGAGAGAGAAGGUAGAAACGUUUGAGUCGGUGCCUGCAGGGAAUUUCGGGACCAGGCGUCCGUACUGCUUGUGGGGACACAGUCAUGGUUUGCACCGCCGUGACCGUGGGGGGCAGACAGCUCUGGUUUUCACUGACCGUCAGAUCCUUCAGCAAGAAGGUUGACGUGUGCUAGGAACCCCCCAGCCUCUUCCCGGGCGGUGGGGGGUCACAGUUUACUCAAAGCGCGGUUGGCCUGUCAUGCGGAGGCUUCACUCCGCCUGGUCUGGUCCCCAGGGAGGUCCCCAGGCUGGACGGGACAGACCCCAAUUAGGAGUUCACCAGCCGCAUAUAUGCGGUAUUUCUCUCCAAGGGCGGCCAGAACAAAUCAGCACACAUGCUACAACGAUGCCCCCUUAUCAUCUCACAGGUCUGGGGUCAGAAGCCUCCCGGGGCCAAGACCGACGUGGCUGUGGGGUGGGUCCUCCUGGAACCUUCAGGGGAGAAUCUGUGUGGUACCUUCUUCCAGAGACCACACACCUGUCGGGCUCCACGGCAACCUUGCCCAGCCUCCCGUCUCGAAAGGAGGGACCUUCACCUGGUCACGGCUCCUCCCUCUACCCUCCUCACCCUCCCUCACCCACUUUAUUUUGUUAAUUCUUUUUAGGGCAGCACCUGCGGCACAUGCACGUUCCCAGGCUAGGGGUUGAAUCGGGGCUGCAGGGUUGAAUCGGAGUUGAACUACGACCAGAGCAACGCCAGGUCUGAGCCUCACCUGCCACCUGUGCGUGAGGCGAGACCAGAUCCUUAGCCCACCGAGCAAGGCCCAGGAUUGAACCUCUAUCCUCCUGGACACUCUGUCGGGUUCUUAACCUGCUGAGCCACAACGGGAACUCCCCUCACCCACUUCUGAGGACCCUGGGCUUACAAUGAGCCCAUCUGGAUAAUCCCAGGUUGCUGCCAUCUCAAGGUCAGCUCAGGGCCAAGCCUAAAUCCACCGGCAUCUGUAACCCCGCGUCACCACAGCAGGUAACAUGCCCGCCUGUCCUGGGCACUAGGAAUUAGGAAGUAGACAUCUUUAGGGUCAUUAUUCUGCUGACCACACAUGGUCCCAAAGGGACUGGGCUGGGACCCAGACCCACACUCGCUGAUAAAAUUAGCAUGUCAAAGUGUUUAAUGAGGCUUAACGGGCGGCUGCUUCCCUGUAGAAGACUUAGAGUCUUAAGCAGCCACAAAGAUGAUAAAGCAGUUUCUCUUCUAAAACACGGACUCGGACAGAAAGCCAUGCCCCUGAAAACAGGCAACACGUGGGGAAAUAAAGCACAUGCAGCUCAGUGUGAUGCAAGAACUAUACUGGAAAAGGAUCUGAGAAACAAUGGACGUGUGUGCAUGUGUCACGGACUCACUCUGCUGUGCACCUGAAGCUAAACAUUGUAACUCAACUCUACUCCAAUACAAAAUAACGUUUAAGUCAAUAUUUUGUGGUUUUUUUCUUUCUCAGCUUUGAGAUGGGACUGGCUUAGUUUCAGUGGUUACAUGAUGCUCUCGGACCGUGAUACGAGCUUUGUCGUGUCAUGGGGCAGUUGUAUCGAAUGACUUGUAUGUCGUGCCUCGUGUGACGUCCGCUUUCGUGUCAUGUUCCCCACUCAGCCAUAAAAACGAAUGGAAUAAUGUCACUCACAGCAACGUGGAUGCAACUAGAGAUUCUCACACUAAGCGAAGUUAGAAAGACAAACACCAUAUGAUGUCACUUCUAUGGAAUCUAAAAUAUGUCACAGAUGAACCUGUCUGUGGAACAGAAACAGACUCCCAGACAUGGAGACCAAACUUGUGGUUGCUGAGGGGUCGGGCGGGGGAUGCAGUGGGGAGUUUGGGCUGAGUCGAUGCAAACUGUGACACUGAGAAUGGAUCAGCAGCGAGGUCCUGCUGUCCCGCACAGGGGACUCUGUGUCCAGUCACUUGUGGUGGAACAUGACGGAAGAUACUAUGCAGAAGUGUGAGUAUAGACGGAUGACGGCAUCACUUUCUUGUACAUCAGAAAUGGACAGAACAGUGUAAAUCCGUGAUAAUUUAAAAAUUAAAGAAAAAAAGAAAUUGACUGUGUCAAGAGACACGGACCAGGAGGUCCUCCCUCUGCAGGAACCAUUCCCGGGCAUCUGUUUCCAUCGCUGAGCAAGAUUUACUCAGACACGUGCAUUCUGAGUUUAGUCCUAUCCCGUGAAAAUGCACCAACUGCCCUGUGGAAAGUAAAUGCAGCUGCCUUUUCCUAGUGUGUCCUGCUUAAAACAAUUUGGGACAAUCUGAAGUGACUUUAGCUCAGCAACAUCCUCAGUAGCUGGAGCACCAGGCGGAGGACACUGAGACAUCAAACGAAUGGAACAGAGAUGUCGUUUCCGAUGCUGUCUGCCCACACGUGGAAGGGGACUAGUGUCCUCCCGUCCCGAAGACCGAGUCUUCAGCAGGCACGUGACGGGUGUGGAAGAAACUCACUGGAUGCCCUAAUUCUUGGGGUAAAACCCACGUAUUAUGCACGUCCUGUUGGUGGGAGUGUAAAUCCGUGCAGCCCUGACAGAAAACAGUACAGAAGUUCCUCAAAGCUCUAAAAAUAGAAGUAUGUCCCCGCAAUCCCACUCCUUGGCAUCGACCCAGACAAAACCCUAAUUUGAGAAGCUCCAGGCACCCCUGUGUCCAUUGCAGGACUAUUCACAACAGCCAAGACAUGGAAACGACCUAAAUGUCCAUCCACAGAGGAAUGGAUAAAGACGACGUGGUCCGUGGACGCAAUGGAAUACGACCCGUCAAAAAGAACAAAACGAGGCAGUUGGAGCGACACGGAGGCAGCUCGAGAUGAUCGCACUAAGUGACGUGAGAAAGACACACACUGUAUGAUGUCACCUAUGUGUGGAAUCUCAAAACAUAACGAGUGAACGUACAUGCAAAACAGAAGCCGAUUCGCAGACACGGAGGACAAGCCAGUGGUUCCAGUGGGGAGAGGGAAGCGGGAGGGUGAUCUGGGGGGGGAGUCAGAGGACGCACCACGGGGUAUAAACUAAACCACCCACAAGGAGAUGCCGCACAGCACGGGGACACAGCCAGUGCUUGAUCACAACUGCAAGUGAAGGAGAACCUUGAAACACCGCGAAUCGCCGUUACACACCUGUAACACAACAUGCAUGUCAACGACACUUCAGUUCUUCAAAUUUUAAAGGCAAAAGCACAUAGCAGUUACCGCUGCCGGGGAGGCAAGAAGCGAUCCUGCUUGUCUCUGGCAUGGCUGGUUUGACCCCUGCCCUGGUGCAGUGGGUUAAGGAUCUGGUGUUGCCACAGCUGGGCUGCAGCUCAAAGUUGAUCCCUGGGCUGGGGAACUUCCAAAUGCCGUGGGUG
rnacentral:lncRNA from 1 species